rnacentral:rRNA from 1 species
UACGUAGGUGACAAGCGUUGUCCGGAUUUACUGGGCGUAAAGAGCGCGCAGGCGGUCGAUCAAGUCGAGUGUGAAAGCCCCCGGCUCAACUGGGGAGGGUCAUUCGAUACUGAUCGACUCGAAGGCAGGAGAGGGUAGUGGAAUUCCCGGUGUAGUGGUGAAAUGCGUAGAGAUCAGGCGGAACACCUGUGGCGAAGGCGGCCAGCUGGGCCGUCCCUGACGCUGAGGCGCGAAGGCGUGGGGAGCAAACAGG